rnacentral:rRNA from 1 species
UACGAAGGGGGCUAGCGUUGCUCGGAAUCACUGGGCGUAAAGGGUGCGUAGGCGGGUCUUUAAGUCAGGGGUGAAAUCCUGGAGCUCAACUCCAGAACUGCCUUUGAUACUGAGGAUCUUGAGUUCGGGAGAGGUGAGUGGAACUGCGAGUGUAGAGGUGAAAUUCGUAGAUAUUCGCAAGAACACCAGUGGCGAAGGCGGCUAUCUGGACCGACAUUGACGCUGAGGCGCGAAAGCGUGGGGAGCAAACAGG